rnacentral:tRNA from 1 species
GGAGAGGUGGUAGAGUCUGGUUGAUUACAUCGGUCUUGAAAACCGAAGCUCCUUAAUCGGGGCCCAGGGUUCGAAUCCCUGUCUCUCCUCCA